CAGCCGCCGCGGGAAUACGAAGGGGGCUAGCGUUGCUCGGAUUUACUGGGCGUAAAGGGCGCGUAGGCGGACAGUUUAGUUGGGGGUGAAAGCCCGGGGCUCAACCUCGGAAUUGCCUUCAAUACUGGCUGUCUUGAGUAUGGGAGAGGUGAGUGGAACUCCGAGUGUAGAGGUGAAAUUCGUAGAUAUUCGGAAGAACACCAGUGGCGAAGGCGACACACUGGCUCACUACUGACGCUGAGGCGCGAAAGCGUGGGGAGCAAACAGGAUAGAUACCCGCGUAGUCCCUGUCUCUUAUACA
rnacentral:rRNA from 1 species